rnacentral:lncRNA from 1 species
GCGUAUGCAUUUUUUAUACUCACGCUGAUCCUUCAAUGACGACAGUGUAAGGUAAAGCCCAAUGAUUUAGCAUUCAUAACAAGAAUCUGUCUUUCUUACUCUAUAAUGGGCGCACCAUUCAUUCGCAGGCAAGCAGCGGGAAGCAGGAAAAGGGGGACUAGACGGCACCAGGCAGUAAGUGGCCAUCAUGCAGGUGCAUACACUGACAUUAUGCCUUGCCAUUUUACAUUCCAAGGACACGAGCAGAAGGACAAGCGCAAGGAACAGGACAAGCGCAAGGAUGGUAAGGAUAUGAACAAGAGUCGGGCUCAAACGGGACGUGGCAGGCCACGUAACGGCCGUUCGGAGGUAUGAAGCCUCUGGUGCAAGACCAUGGCUAUUAACUAAAUGCUUUUUAUUGCGUUAUUUCGAGGCACGUUAUGCCGGUGUCACACCUACAGCCGUCAUUGCACGUAACACGCUCACAACUAUGUGUUCCUGCCUAAACAAUGAUUUGUUGUGAUGCAGAAAUAUGCCUUCCGUCGUGAACAUGACACGCGAGCGGAGGCGAGGAUUGAGCGCUUUAACAAGAAGACAAUAGUGGCGGUAUUGUGGUACAGUUACAUGCGCUUAGCUUUUGUGUGCCCAUUUUUUCUGACGUUUAGACUGUUGAACCCGUUUACAUGGAGUUGCUGGCUGAGUUGCAUUAGGAUUUGCUAUGAAUUCGUACCUGUUAUUCAGGAAUAGUUGAAAUGUAUGAAGAAAACAGUGAGUGCUGUGGUUCACAGGUCAUGUGCAACGGCGGUGCACUUUGCACAUUGUACAGCUCGUGUACUGCUAUUGUAAUGCUUUUGUAUUGCACGGUUGGCCGUACAGUUCGCAGUCCCGCACGCAAAUCGCAGUCACUCGCGUAAAAUUCAAAUGGUAGCACAUGAAUUCGCAGGAUUCGCAGUCGCGUAGCCAUUCGCAAUCCCUUGGCGAUGCGCUUGCGUUAAAAGUCAC